rnacentral:rRNA from 1 species
UACGAAGGGGGCUAGCGUUGUUCGGAAUUACUGGGCGUAAAGGGCGCGUAGGCGGCGUGUCAAGUCAGGCGUGAAAGCCCCGGGCUCAACCUGGGAACCGCGCUUGAGACUGGCAUGCUCGAGUUCGGGAGAGGAUGGUGGAAUUCCCAGUGUAGAGGUGAAAUUCGUAGAUAUUGGGAAGAACACCGAUGGCGAAGGCAGCCAUCUGGACCGACACUGACGCUGAGGCGCGAAAGCGUGGGGAGCAAACAGGAUUAGAAACCCUGG